GUAGGUGGCAAGCGUUGUCCGGAAUUAUUGGGGCGUAAAGCGCGCGCAGGCGGGUCCUUUAAGUCUGAUGUGAAAGCCCACGGGCUCAACCGUGGAGGGUCAUUGGAAACUGGGGGACUUGAGUACAGAAGAGGAAAGCGGAAUUCCACGUGUAGCGGUGAAAUGCGUAGAGAUGUGGAGGAACACCAGUGGCGAAGGCGGCUUUCUGGUCUGUAACUGACGCUGAGGCGCGAAAGCGUGGGGAGCAAACAGGAUUAGAUACCCUGGUAGUCCACGCCGUAAACGAUGAGUGCUAAGUGUUAGGGGGUUUCCGCCCCUUAGUGCUGCAGCUAACGCAUUAAGCACUCCGCCUGGGGAGUACGGCCGCAAGGCUG
rnacentral:rRNA from 1 species